CAUGCUGGGCUUGUCCCUGCACCCUAGCCCACUUCUGACAAGCCUGCUGUUUGUUGGACCUUGUACUUGCGCCCCUGGCCCUCAUGCAGCAACCCAUGUGCUGUUGGGCUAACCUAUGCGACUCGCUUGCACCAGCCCUUUUUGGUGCUAGGCUUGCCAUGCCAUGGCCCAAAAUCAAAGCCAACCUUUAGCUGGGCUUUGUCGUUUCCCAACCCAAGCCAACGUAUGCUAGGCCUACUUCACGGGGUAAUUUUUGGCCUAAAUUUUAGUAGCCUUUACUACUGAGCUCGUCUCAGACCCACGAGGCUUGUAUCCUCCCCGUGACCCGAUAGUCCUAGAAUCGUUCAUCAGGGUCUUCCUCGUGCACUGCAACCAACCCAAUCAAGCUGAGCUACGUUAUUUUUUGUUUGACCCAAUGCCAAUUUUUGGCAUUUCCGCUUGAUAACCAUACCCAUUUAAUUUUUCGGACGUUUUGGUUAACACUAAUUAAGCUCUAAUUCACUUGUUGCUUAGUCUGCUACCAAUCGAAGCUAAUAUGAUCUGAACAUCAUUAUUUUACUUCCACGAUCGACUCCGUAUGGUCCCGAUCUAUUGAAUUAAUUAAAAGUGACCAGACGUCCAUUAAUUUGACAUAACAUCCAAAAUUAUUGGCCUGAAGCCCACAUUUGGACAUUAACGAUUCACUAUUUUAUUUCUUAUCUUUGAACCGCUGACUCCCUUUCGUUGUCAUGAACCACUGACACUUGAGUUCCUGAAGCAACCUAAAUCCACUACACUUGGUUGUAUAUUGUAUUAUGUGUACAAGUACUUCCUUUUAUGAAUCGUGUUGAUGCACAAAAUUAGUGAGGACUUUGGUACAACAGAAAGUGUUAAGUUUAUGACCUUCGCUAGAUUGCUCCGAUCACUAGUAUGGAUAAGUAUGUAAAUGGAUAGAGAUAUGGAAGCAAACACAAGAUGUACGUGGUUCAUCCAGAUUGGCUACGUCCACAGAGUAGAGGAGUUCUCAUUAAUUAUGAAGGGUUUACACAAGUACAUAGGUUUAAGCUCUCCUUUAGUGAGUACAAGUGAAUGAUUUAGUACAAAUGACAUUAGGAAAUAUUGUGAGAGAAUGAUCUCUAUUUAUAGAAGAGAGUUUCUAGUUUCAUUCUGACAUUAACAUGUGUCGUGUUGUGAUUGGCUUCUGAUGUUGACAUGUGUCGCGCUAUGAUUGGCUUCUGAUGUCAACACAUGUCGU
rnacentral:lncRNA from 1 species